rnacentral:rRNA from 1 species
UACGUAGGUGGCGAGCGUUGUCCGGAAUUACUGGGUGUAAAGGGCGUGUAGGCGGGAAGUCAAGUCAGAUGUGAAAUGCCAAGGCUCAACCUUGGAGCUGCAUUUGAAACUGACUUUCUUGAGUGCAGGAGAGGAAAGCGGAAUUCCUAGUGUAGCGGUGAAAUGCGUAGAUAUUAGGAGGAACACCAGUGGCGAAGGCGGCUUUCUGGACUGUAACUGACGCUGAGGCGCGAAAGCGUGGGGAGUGAACAGGAUUAGAUACCCUGGUAAUCCACGCCGUAAACGAUGGAUACUAGGUGUUGGGGGUAUCGACCCCCCCGGUGCCGGAGUUAACACAAUAAGUAUCCCACCUGGGGAGUACGGCCGCAAGGUUGAA